AUAGGUGAAGCAGAAAUCAUCUCGAGGAAAUAGCACUGAACAGUAAUGCCCUGAAACACAGCAUUUGUUGUCUCCAAGCCACUGUUAAGGUAAGCUUUCUGGCCCCCAGAUCUGCACCUGACCUUUACCACCUCCUCAUCAUCCACUCUGGUCUGCAUCCUCUUGACCGCGUCUGAGUCUCCUUUGGGGCUGGAUGUCUGCUUCAGCAUUAGGAAAUGGACACAUCUAUAGAAUCUCUCAUGGCAACACACCAAGUAUUGUAAACUUCGUCCUUUCAACAAGUUAUAUUACUAAAAAUCGACAAACUGAACUCACAUGAAUGUGUACUUACAGAGUUGUGGCUCCUGAUUCUAUUUAAGGAUCUUAACUUCACUCUCACAGAUGGACCCACCUGUGGCUACGUUUACACACUAUGAUCCUAGCUAUUUUUCCUAGUGUUGGAAUGUUGGUCUGAGAUAUGGAAAUGGUGAGUAGCAUUAGAAGGUUAGCCUUAGAAAUAGUUCAGCUUUUAAGGUGGGGUAGUUAAACCCUGUCAUUGAGACUAAGAGCUUUUCUUUGUAGAAAAC
rnacentral:lncRNA from 1 species